rnacentral:misc_RNA from 1 species
GUAUUAUAUUUGUAUAGAAGCAUUAUAAUGCCUCACGUGUACAUUCAAUUACUUUGUAUGGAGUAUAUUGAAACAUAGAUCUGAAAUGUUAAAGAAGAGCUGGCGGGAAGCACAGCAAUUCUUUAGACCGAAGUGUGAACCUCGAGAGUUAUUUCAGAUCUACAUAAAGUGCACAGGUGGUUAAUAAAGCUGGAAUAGACGUGCACAUGCCCCGAAGAGCCAGCAACAGUCCACACCAAGUUUAUUCAAUAAUGAUCCUUCCGCAGGUUCACCUACGGAAA